GGCCGGGCGGGACGUUUGCGGAGCAGCCCCGUGGCCGGGCAGUGGUUCUCGGCGAGCUCCGGCACCGCCUCCAGCCCCCGAGGCGAGGCAGGGCAGGGCAGGGCAGGGCAGGGCAGAUGUGCGCACAGGAGCGGCGGGCGGGCAGGACGUGCCGAGACCCGCGCUCCGCCGCGCUCGCCCCGAGCGGCAGCUGCAGCCCCGCGGGCGGAGCCGGCGCGGCCCGGUUGUGGCCGAGGGGAGCGGGGCGCGGCGGGGCGGGAUCAGGUGUGCAGGUGUGCGCGGCGUCGGCCUCAGCCUGCUCCUGCUGCAGCGCAGCGCGAGCGCCCGGCACAGCCCCGGCGGCGGCGGCGGCGGAGUGCUCGUCGCGGUGACAUGGCACAGAUCCGAGCGCGGAGAUCUCGGCGAUGGCUCGAGUUGUUUGUAUGGGGUGUACGAUCAUAGGUGCAAGUGACUUUUCACAUGUGGGAUGGGAAAAUGAUAGUUCUCCCAGAUGACCUAGAAAGUGCAAGUCACAGUUGCAGCACGUGCAAAAGACCAUGAGCCAUCUUCUGAGAAGAGCAGAAGGCAAAGUGUACCAAGUGCAAUGAAUCAUGCUUGGCCUCUUCUGAAAGAAAAGAUGCAUCUUCUGAAAGCAAAAAUGCACUUUCAUGUAUGGGUAAGCCUCUUUAUUAGGACCACGGUUCCUUGACAUCUCUUGGACAAAAGGGUGUGUGUUAGAUUGCAGUACAUUUUAACUUUACUAGAUACUAAACAGUCUAGUAUUAUGUUCUGAGGCUCUCAGUAAGAACCAAAACCUGUCCUAAUAGGAGAUUUGCCCAGUUGGAAAUUAGUUACAUUGUGAUAUGGUUAUAAAAAGAAUCCUGCCUUCAUCUGGAGUUGCUUAGAUUGUCAUUAGUGAGGAGGUGCCAAUAGUGGCUUUAAAAAAAAAAGAAAAGAAGGGUACUUUGUGACCACUGACAAUUUCCAGGUGAAUACAUAGUAGAGAAAAAGAAUCUUGAUGAAAAUGGAUUUCAGUGACACAUUUCUGAAUCACUAUUGAAAAUGGCAUAGUGUUUGGUGUAUAACUUCCCACCCUGCCUCAGAUAGCUUCUGAAACAAUACUGAAGAGUAAGGUUUGACUAAAUGUGUCAAACUUAUGUGACCCCACAAGGCUGGAAAUACAGCAGCAUUGUAAUCAGUUGUUGUGAUUUUCAGAGCUGCAGCAGCCACCUCUUUUUCUGUAACCAAAUUUUUAGCUCUGUGGACCAGAUCCCUUGGGCAAUAUGUUUGACAUCCCAGCUCUAUGCUGCUGAAAAACUGGGAAUAUUUGCUGUUUGGUUUAUAAUUAUUCAUUCACCGACAGCAAAGAAUGGGAGCUAGCUAAGCUAAAAGAUGUCAAAACAAAGGGGCUAUUCAAUACCCAGUUUAGGAUUCUGACAUUCAAUGUUUCUCUAUCAAAAAUUUAAGUGAAGGGAAGGAAAAAAAGAAACUAGUAGCAACAAUUUUAGGCCAGGGCUGGAUUAACACAUAGGCAAACUAGGCACGUGCCUAGGGCCCUGAGCUGCAAGGGGUGUUGCAGGCCAGCUGGGCACUCUGAGGGUAUCAAUUUUAUCACAGGCCAACUGGGCUGUUUGAUUCAGUUUCGGAUCGAGGAGUCAAAGUUGGGAGUGGACUAAAGGCAAAUUUAUUAUAGCUUACACACACAACAGGUAACAGAAAGAUAAAUGUGAUAAGCAGAUAUGGCAGUAUAAAAGAGCUAAUAGUAAAUAAUAACAACAGAUAAUAAUAACAGAUAGAUAGAUCAAUCUGUCACAGACCAACUGGGCACUGCAAGGGUAUUAGCCACACUGGGCUGUUCAAAACAAUAAAUAGACAGACAUGGGUUGGCAAUUUAUCGAUAGUCCCUCAAUGCCAGGUGUGCGCCAAGUGAUUCCAGCGAAGUCAGACGUCUCUGAUGAGCGACUCUGUCAGAGGGCUUACCGGGGAAGGUCCCUUGCUCAGGAUCCGAUCCUCACUCACAGCGGGAGUCUGGGGUCCAGGCGUGGAACAGAAAUGACGGUUCUGUUCCCUCCUUCCUGCUGGUUACCUGAUGCAUGUGUUUUUUAUACCUAGUCUUAUGUUAAUCUGUUGGCCUCAGGGCCACUCACAAUAUUGCCCUAUAGCUGUUACCCUAUGGGAUUGAAAGGUGUUAAAAUUAUCAUAAAAGGUUACUACCCAGACUCAGGUUUAUCCAAUAAGCAAAUUAUGAUGCAGCACCUUUAGGUUUGAAAUUGACAUUGCUCCGCCUAGAUCCCAACCCGUUUUAGGCUUCAUUUGAAUAUGCUUUCUUGGGAUAUGCUUUCCUGGAAUGUGUUGGGUGUGCCAAGCAGUUAGAUCCAGUUUUUAUCGCUAAGGCUGAACCCUGAGCAAAAAACCAUUAGGCCAGCUAAUCUCACAGCUACAGCUUUGCCUAUGGGGCCCAGUCAGUUCCAUGAACAGUUAAUUUAUCAUUUUGGUUAAACUUAUGACAGACAAGUUACAUUUGCAGUUUACAAACUUAUAAGCUAAUAUUAACUAAUAUUACCUGUUUAGGCAAAAUACCAAAUGCCUCCAAGAAGCACAUAUUAUUGCUUAUUAAUCCCUCUGGUUCUGGCUGUGACAGAGGGGCCCUGGUCCUUCCCUCUGUAAGGUUUGACCUAGAAACUACUAUGCAAAGCCUAAGCAAAAGUGAAUGUUGUGUGUCGAAUGCCCAUCUGCAAUGAUAAGGGGCAGACAUUCUUAGAUAGAGGAAGCUUGAAAACAAAAAACAGAAUCAGAGGUACUGGAGCAAAGAGCUCAUUAAAAUACUAAAAAUCACACCCCGAGGCGGGGAAGAUAUAUGCUAAUGGAACAUAUAUGUACGUUAAUGAGAUACAUAGCUAAAACACAGGUAUAGAGACAUGCUCAGUAAAGAACUCCUUGCGUCACUCCUUUAUAACCAAUUAGCAAACAAGGAUGCUUAUGAAGAUUCAACCUCUGGUAUAUAAGGGGCUCAGUAUUGAAUGUGCUUGUGCUUGUCUUGGGAGAUUAUUCCGCUUGCACCUUUUAUUGCUAGCAAUAAAUCAUUUUUAUAUUUUCACCCCUGGUAUCUUUAUUGGCCUUUGCAUACCGGGCACGAACCCAGACUUGGGCUGGGGCCGAACACCUCCACGGUGGCUGUGUAAAUGGCCCUGUCUGCCUCCCUUUCCUGCAAAUGGCCUUGUCUGCCUCCUUUUCCUUCCCUUCCCCUCCCCUCCACCAACCUUACUGCUAUCGUGGCUGCUUCCUAACUCUCCAUGGGCAGCAGUGCUGUGGUGGGGAAGGAGGGUGUUGACUGGCCUGGAGCCCACAAGUUUGUUUGCCUAGGGCCCACUAAAGGGUUAAUUUGGGCUUGUUUCAGACUGUUAGAGGCAAGACAAAUCUGUAUGAUUUGGAAAACAGGGAGCUCUGCUUAUCAAACUGGUAUUUAGAAUCUAAAUCUAAUAUCUAAAGUUAUUUAGAAUGUGUUUUGUGACAUUGGGUAGCAGAAACAGCAUCUGGAGGCAUUCAGGCAAGGUUUUCUUUGAGAGGCUUUAGAUUCUGGAAGACUUUUUCUUAGCCUAAGUAUAAGUUAUGCUAGUUUCCAAGCUUUCCUUUUAUUUUUAUAGGGGAGUGGGAUGUCUUAAUUGAAAACAGUUUGGGAUUUUUUUAUUUUUUUUUUAAGGAAAAUACCGGUUCUUUAAAAGUGCAUUUGAAACAUGUAAUGUUAGCCAAGGUUAUGUGGUUUGAUCUGAUCAGGAAUUUGUUUGCUAUAGGCAUGGGUCAGAACCUUGAUUUUUAACUAUAGUUGCAGUCAGUACAGUAUAAAAUAGGAGUUCACUGAUAAAGAUUUUCUUGGCCGAUACCAAUAGCCGAUCCAAUACUGAUCCAGGAGCUCAUUUGCAGGAGUGCAGCCUGGCAGGUUUGAGAGCAGCAUCUUGCCGGGAGAGUAGAAAUAAUAACAAGACUCAACCUGGACAAAUACAAGGACAUAUCUUAAGAAAUUGUAUUCAGGCUUUUCUGCAAGUGUUUUCACAGUUGGGUGGACAAUUGGAAAAGUAACGGCUGGAGAACAAGCACAGGAAGAAGUGGAAUAAACAAAGAGGACUUUGAAAGACUUGGCAAGCUUACAGAGGGCAUGGAAAUAAAAUGGAUACAUAUUCCUGGUCAUGCUGACUUUAUAGGAAGUGAAGUGGCUGAUAGACUGGCAAAAGAAGGAGCGAGAAAACAAAACUUUGAACUUGCUAGUGACUUAAUUUAAUUCUAAUGAAAGACUGUGGUCAUAAAAGUACAGAUCACUACAGUAUCUCAAUAUAACAACAGCACCUGCUGGAACUGUUUCAGUGUUGAAAUUAACUUAUUUUAACUACAUAGGAAUGUAGUUCUACAUGUAAUUAUGCAGUGUCCUGUGGGAAAAAAAAAUCAGUAUUGUGAAGGGUUCAAGUGACAUACUUCUUUUAUUUGUAGGUACUGUUUCACAGUUAAGGAUAUUGUGGAAAUAAGACAACCAGAGUUCAGUUUGCAUCCUCUUUUUGCCACAGUGUUGCUUUUGAAGUUAGCUGUUCUGUAAGAGCUGAGUUUGGACUUUGGGUUUUACUAAAUGUUGAAGUUGUUAUUGUUUCAGAAA